rnacentral:rRNA from 1 species
UACGGGGGGAGCAAGCGUUGUUCGGAUUUACUGGGCGUAAAGGGCGCGUAGGCGGCCACCGCAAGUCGACUGUGAAAUCUCCGGGCUUAACCCGGAAAGGUCAGCCGAUACUGCGGGGCUAGAGUGCAGAAGGGGCAACUGGAAUUCUCGGUGUAGCGGUGAAAUGCGUAGAUAUGACAUAGAACACCAAUUGCGUAGGCAGCUUACUACACGAUCAUUGACGCUGAGGCACGAAAGCGUGGGGAGCAAACAGG